UACUGAGGGUGCGAGCGUUGUCCGGAAUCACUGGGCGUAAAGGGCGCGUAGGCGGCGCGGAUAGUCGGCGGUGAAAGCCCGGAGCUCAACUCCGGGUCGGCCGUCGAUACUUCCGGGCUUGAGCACUGUAGAGGCAGAUGGAAUUCCGGGUGUAGCGGUGGAAUGCGUAGAGAUCCGGAAGAACACCGGUGGCGAAGGCGGUCUGCUGGGCAGUUGCUGACGCUGAUGCGCGACAGCGUGGGGAGCAAACAGG
rnacentral:rRNA from 1 species